rnacentral:rRNA from 1 species
ACCGGCGCACGGGUGCGUAACAUGUGUGCAACUUACCUUUAUCAGGGGGAUAGCCCAGGGAAACUUGGAUUAAUACCCCAUAAUAUAUAAUACGGCAUCGUAUUAUAUUGAAAACUCUGGUGGAUAGAGAUAGGCACGCACAAGAUUAGUUAGUUGGUAAGGUAACGGCUUACCAAGACAUCGAUAGGUAGGGGGUUUGAGAGGAUUAUCCCCCACACUGGUACUGAGACGCGGACCAGACUCCUACGGGAGGCAGCAGUGAGGAAUAUUGGACAAUGGAGGCAACUCUGAUCCAGCCAUGCCGCGUGCAGGAAGACGGCCCUAUGGGUUGUAAACUGCUUUUAUACAGGAAGAAACUGCUCUACGUGUAGAGUACUGACGGUACUGUAAGAAUAAGCACCGGCUAACUCCGUGCCAGCAGCCGCGGUAAUACGGAGGGUGCAAGCGUUAUCCGGAAUCAUUGGGUUUAAAGGGUCCGCAGGCGGUCAAUUAAGUCAGAGGUGAAAUCCCAUAGCUUAACUAUGGAACUGCCUUUGAUACUGGUUGACUUGAGUCAUAUGGAAGUAGAUAGAAUAAGUAGUGUAGCGGUGAAAUGCAUAGAUAUUACUUAGAAUACCGAUUGCGAAGGCAGUCUACUACGUAUGUACUGACGCUCAUGGACGAAAGCGUGGGGAGCGAACAGGAUUAGAUACCCUGGUAGUCCACGCCGUAAACGAUGGAUACUAGUUGUUGGGCGAAUGUUCAGUGACUAAGCGAAAGUGAUAAGUAUCCCACCUGGGGAGUACGUUGGCAACAAUGAAACUCAAAGGAAUUGACGGGGGCCCGCACAAGCGGUGGAGCAUGUGGUUUAAUUCGAUGAUACGCGAGGAACCUUACCAGGGCUUAAAUGUAGAGUGCAUGAUUCAGAGAUGAACUUUCUUCGGACUCUCUACAAGGUGCUGCAUGGUUGUCGUCAGCUCGUGCCGUGAGGUGUCAAGUUAAGUCCUAUAACGAGCGCAACCCCUAUUGUUAGUUACCAGCAUGUAAAGAUGGGGACUCUAGCAAGACUGCCGGUGUAAACCGUGAGGAAGGUGGGGAUGACGUCAAAUCAUCACGGCCCUUACGUCCUGGGCCACACACGUGCUACAAUGGUAGGUACAGCGAGCAGCCACUCCGCGAGGAGGAGCGAAUCUACAAAACCUAUCACAGUUCGGAUUGGAGUCUGCAACUCGACUCUAUGAAGCUGGAAUCGCUAGUAAUCGGAUAUCAGCCAUGAUCCGGUGAAUACGUUCCCGGGCCUUGUACACACCGCCCGUCGAGCCAUGGAAGCUGGGGGUACCUGAAGUCGGUGACCGAGAGGAGCUGCCUAGGGUAAAACUAGUAACUGGGGCUAAGUCGUAACAAGGUAACC